CCUACGGGAGGCAGCAGUGGGGAAUAUUGGACAAUGGGCGAAAGCCUGAUCCAGCAAUGCCGCGUGUGUGAAGAAGGCCUUCGGGUUGUAAAGCACUUUAAGUUGGGAAGAAAAAGCUCUGGCUAAUAUCUAGAGCCUUGACGGUACCAACAGAAUAAGCACCGGCUAACUCUGUGCCAGCAGCCGCGGUAAUACAGAGGGUGCUAGCGUUAAUCGGAUUUACUGGGCGUAAAGCGUGCGUAGGCGGUUUGAUAAGUCGAUUGUGAAAGCCCCGGGCUUAACCUGGGAAUUGCAGUUGAUACUGUCAGACUAGAAAACGGUAGAGGGAGGCGGAACUCCAGGUGUAGCGGUGAAAUGCGUAGAUAUCUGGAAGAACACCGAUGGCGAAGGCAACCUCCUGGGCCUGUUUUGACGCUGAGGCACGAAAGCGUGGGUAGCAAACAGGAUUAGAUACCCUGGUAGUCCACGCCGUAAACGAUGAGAACUUGACGUUGGUUUGCUUAGCAAAUCGGUNUCGUAAGCUAACGCGAUAAGUUCUCCGCCUGGGGAAUACGGCCGCAAGGUUGAAACUUAAGGAAUUGACGGNNGNGAGNGCGAGAGANAGAGGAGAGG
rnacentral:rRNA from 1 species